rnacentral:lncRNA from 1 species
AUGUACUAUAGAAUAACUGUGAACUUCAGCUUUGUUUCAAUAUUUGUGUUCUCCUGGUUUUUUCCCCAGCAUUCCAGUUUAGUGCCAAGCUAAUUUUUUCAGUUGUUUAAACUACCAAUGCAUAAGAUUAUCAUCGUUAUAUAAGUUCUUAAAAAAAUCCCCGGCAUUUGCAAUCGUGACAUAAAUGGUCAUUUCACGACGCUUUUUUAUUAAUUUUCAC